AGUUCUUUGUAGGAGAGAACAUGAAUCCAGAUGGUAUGGUGGCUCUCCUGGAUUUCCGUGAGGAUGGUGUGACCCCAUAUAUGAUUUUCUUCAAGGAUGGCUUGGAAAUUGAGAAAUGUUAACAAAUGGGACACGGUAUGGUUUUGGAUCACUUCUCUUCAUAGCUGGCUGCUGUUUCUUCUUCAUCGGCACAACACCGGGAAUUGGCAAUGGCUAACAACUGGACUGAUGUCAUCUUGAGCUUUAUUCACUUAUUUUGACCCUGAUUUGGAGUGGAGGCAUUUGUUUUAAAAAAAAAAAAAACAAACCAACCCCCAAACAUCUUGUCUUGUAGAUUGUCUAAAAUAAAACUCAUGUAAACCCAUUCUA